rnacentral:rRNA from 1 species
AGCGUACACGGUGGAUGCCCUGGCAGUCAGAGGCGAUGAAGGACGUGCUAAUCUGCGAUAAGCGUCGGUAAGGUGAUAUGAACCGUUAUAACCGGCGAUUUCCGAAUGGGGAAACCCAGUGUGAUUCGUCACACUAUCAUUAACUGAAUCCAUAGGUUAAUGAGGCGAACCGGGGGAACUGAAACAUCUAAGUACCCCGAGGAAAAGAAAUCAACCGAGAUUCCCCCAGUAGCGGCGAGCGAACGGGGAGCAGCCCAGAGCCUGAAUCAGUGUGUGUGUUAGUGGAAGCGUCUGGAAAGGCGCGCGAUACAGGGUGACAGCCCCGUACACAAAAAUGCACAUGCUGUGAGCUCGAUGAGUAGGGCGGGACACGUGGUAUCCUGUCUGAAUAUGGGGGGACCAUCCUCCAAGGCUAAAUACUCCUGACUGACCGAUAGUGAACCAGUACCGUGAGGGAAAGGCGAAAAGAACCCCGGCGAGGGGAGUGAAAAAGAACCUGAAACCGUGUACGUACAAGCAGUGGGAGCACGCUUAGGCGUGUGACUGCGUACCUUUUGUAUAAUGGGUCAGCGACUUAUAUUCUGUAGCAAGGUUAACCGAAUAGGGGAGCCGAAGGGAAACCGAGUCUUAACUGGGCGUUAAGUUGCAGGGUAUAGACCCGAAACCCGGUGAUCUAGCCAUGGGCAGGUUGAAGGUUGGGUAACACUAACUGGAGGACCGAACCGACUAAUGUUGAAAAAUUAGCGGAUGACUUGUGGCUGGGGGUGAAAGGCCAAUCAAACCGGGAGAUAGCUGGUUCUCCCCGAAAGCUAUUUAGGUAGCGCCUCGUGAAUUCAUCUCCGGGGGUAGAGCACUGUUUCGGCAAGGGGGUCAUCCCGACUUACCAACCCGAUGCAAACUGCGAAUACCGGAGAAUGUUAUCACGGGAGACACACGGCGGGUGCUAACGUCCGUCGUGAAGAGGGAAACAACCCAGACCGCCAGCUAAGGUCCCAAAGUCAUGGUUAAGUGGGAAACGAUGUGGGAAGGCCCAGACAGCCAGGAUGUUGGCUUAGAAGCAGCCAUCAUUUAAAGAAAGCGUAAUAGCUCACUGGUCGAGUCGGCCUGCGCGGAAGAUGUAACGGGGCUAAACCAUGCACCGAAGCUGCGGCAGCGACGCUGAUGCGUUGUUGGGUAGGGGAGCGUUCUGUAAGCCUGCGAAGGUGUGCUGUGAGGCAUGCUGGAGGUAUCAGAAGUGCGAAUGCUGACAUAAGUAACGAUAAAGCGGGUGAAAAGCCCGCUCGCCGGAAGACCAAGGGUUCCUGUCCAACGUUAAUCGGGGCAGGGUGAGUCGACCCCUAAGGCGAGGCCGAAAGGCGUAGUCGAUGGGAAACAGGUUAAUAUUCCUGUACUUGGUGUUACUGCGAAGGGGGGACGGAGAAGGCUAUGUUGGCCGGGCGACGGUUGUCCCGGUUUAAGCGUGUAGGCUGGUUUUCCAGGCAAAUCCGGAAAAUCAAGGCUGAGGCGUGAUGACGAGGCACUACGGUGCUGAAGCAACAAAUGCCCUGCUUCCAGGAAAAGCCUCUAAGCAUCAGGUAACAUCAAAUCGUACCCCAAACCGACACAGGUGGUCAGGUAGAGAAUACCAAGGCGCUUGAGAGAACUCGGGUGAAGGAACUAGGCAAAAUGGUGCCGUAACUUCGGGAGAAGGCACGCUGAUAUGUAGGUGAAGUCCCUCGCGGAUGGAGCUGAAAUCAGUCGAAGAUACCAGCUGGCUGCAACUGUUUAUUAAAAACACAGCACUGUGCAAACACGAAAGUGGACGUAUACGGUGUGACGCCUGCCCGGUGCCGGAAGGUUAAUUGAUGGGGUCAGCGCAAGCGAAGCUCUUGAUCGAAGCCCCGGUAAACGGCGGCCGUAACUAUAACGGUCCUAAGGUAGCGAAAUUCCUUGUCGGGUAAGUUCCGACCUGCACGAAUGGCGUAAUGAUGGCCAGGCUGUCUCCACCCGAGACUCAGUGAAAUUGAACUCGCUGUGAAGAUGCAGUGUACCCGCGGCAAGACGGAAAGACCCCGUGAACCUUUACUAUAGCUUGACACUGAACAUUGAGCCUUGAUGUGUAGGAUAGGUGGGAGGCUUUGAAGUGUGGACGCCAGUCUGCAUGGAGCCGACCUUGAAAUACCACCCUUUAAUGUUUGAUGUUCUAACGUUGACCCGUGAUCCGGGUUGCGGACAGUGUCUGGUGGGUAGUUUGACUGGGGCGGUCUCCUCCUAAAGAGUAACGGAGGAGCACGAAGGUUGGCUAAUCCUGGUCGGACAUCAGGAGGUUAGUGCAAUGGCAUAAGCCAGCUUGACUGCGAGCGUGACGGCGCGAGCAGGUGCGAAAGCAGGUCAUAGUGAUCCGGUGGUUCUGAAUGGAAGGGCCAUCGCUCAACGGAUAAAAGGUACUCCGGGGAUAACAGGCUGAUACCGCCCAAGAGUUCAUAUCGACGGCGGUGUUUGGCACCUCGAUGUCGGCUCAUCACAUCCUGGGGCUGAAGUAGGUCCCAAGGGUAUGGCUGUUCGCCAUUUAAAGUGGUACGCGAGCUGGGUUUAGAACGUCGUGAGACAGUUCGGUCCCUAUCUGCCGUGGGCGCUGGAGAACUGAGGGGGGCUGCUCCUAGUACGAGAGGACCGGAGUGGACGCAUCACUGGUGUUCGGGUUGUCAUGCCAAUGGCACUGCCCGGUAGCUAAAUGCGGAAGAGAUAAGUGCUGAAAGCAUCUAAGCACGAAACUUGCCCCGAGAUGAGUUCUCCCUGACUCCUUGA